rfam:Phlebotomus papatasi Contig50939.1, whole genome shotgun sequence.
AAGACUAUACUUCACAAGAUCAUUUCUGUAGUAUGUCUUCACCAAACAAGUUUCCAACAUGGAGACAUUAAGCAACCACGAUGAUGAGGUGUAGCACCUUGUCCGGAGCGUGAAAAGGGUCUGGGAGAUGUACUUCGGUACAACUCUCAGACCAUUGAGGAUCGUCAACCCUGGGAUUCCCGGGGUGAUGGACAAGGUGCAAGCUGAGUGGU